rnacentral:rRNA from 1 species
UACGAAGGGGGCUAGCGUUGCUCGGAAUCACUGGGCGUAAAGCGCACGUAGGCGGCUUGUUAAGUCAGGGGUGAAAUCCUGGAGCUCAACUCCAGAACUGCCUUUGAUACUGGCGAGCUUGAGUUCGGGAGAGGUGAGUGGAACUGCGAGUGUAGAGGUGAAAUUCGUAGAUAUUCGCAAGAACACCAGUGGCGAAGGCAGCUCACUGGGCCGAGACUGACGCUGAGGCACGAAAGCGUGGGGAGCAAACAGG